UUGUGUAACAGUGAUUAAGUUCAUUUUUAGUAUAGUUUUACACUUGUUUACUUAUAACGAUUCGUUCCAAUGAAUAUAAACUGUUCACCUAGUGUAUAACAAUGUUUGGAGAGGUGUAUAUGUUAAUGUCAGUAAAUAAAAAAAAACAAUUCCAACAGUUGUUGUGACCUCACCGGGAGUAAUUUUGCUCGAAAUAUUAGCAAAAUACAAUGGCGGGUAACGGGGAAUCAGGGUUCGAUUCCGGAGAGGGAGUCUGAGAAAUAGCUACCACAUCCAAGAACGGUAGCAGGCUCGAAAAUUACCCACUCCCAGCACGGGGAGGUAGUGACGAAAAAUACGAAUACGGGACUCAUUUGAGGCUCCGUAACCUGAUAUAUUUGAAUAUCGGAAUAUUUGAAAUCAGUA
rnacentral:ncRNA from 1 species